CGGAUCGUGCAGGAGGCGGAUUGAAUGUUUUUUGGGCACUGGGGGUCAAGGGGUCGUGGGUUCAAAUCCCGCCGUCCCGAC
rnacentral:tRNA from 1 species